rnacentral:tRNA from 1 species
GGGGAAGUGCUGGAAUUGGCAGACAGGCAUGACUUAGGAUCAUGUGCCGAAAGGCGUGCGGGUUCGACCCCCGCCUUCCCUACUA